rnacentral:lncRNA from 1 species
ACCUCAGGUGAUCCACCCGCCUCAGCCUCCCAGAGUGCUGGGAUUAUAGGCGUGAGCCACCGCGCCCGGCCUUGGGACAGGUCUUUAAAGGAAGGAAACCCCCUGUGCCUAGAAAGGGGUGGGGACCAUCUGAUAACUGUGUCACCUUUACACUCAAGGUGACUAUACCUCCCACUAGCACAAGUGGUGUAAGGUCAGAGCAGAAAUCAGGCCCUUGAGGGCCACCCCCACGGGCCUGAUUUGGCCCCCCAACCGCCUGUGGGCAUAAGGCUUUGUAGAAAGGCAGCACAAGAAACAGCCACAUCUUGCUGUGGGCUGAGGUCACCAGAGGUCCCUGCUCCAGCCUACCCUACAGUGCCUGAAACCGUCACCAUGAGUGUGCUUUCCUUUGGAUUUAGAGAUCCUAUCUCCCUCCCGGAGAGGUUUUUUUUUUUUUUAAUGCAAAUUUCUCUUGAAUAAAAGCCCAUUAAACUAGUCAGCCAUUAAUAGCUCAGUAUGAAUUAAUCUAGUAGAGAUAAACUGGGGGGCAGACAGCAACACCCGGAAGUAGGGAGCCCCCAGACAGUGACAUUUGUACAAAUGCAAAUUUCAGUGGGAUAAAACCUAUUAAACUAGUCAGCCAUUAAUAUCUUAGUAUGAAUUAAUCUAGCAGAGUUAAAUGGGGAGGCAGACAGCAAGAACCAGAAGGAGGGAACUCCCAUUUUGCGAUGUCUCAGGUGGGAAAACGGAUGGAAGAAAAGGUGGUCUGGAUGUUGGGUCACCAGGGACAGCUAGAGGGCACACGGUGAAAAUUUACAGAAGCACAGAAUACUAGGGCCAUGAGGGGACCUAGUGACCACCUCGUCUACCACUCCUGGUUUAUAACUGAGGAUCUGAAGCCUCAGGGGUGUUAAGUGGCCAGUCACACCCUACCUGGCUCAGUGGUUACACAGAUAGGUUUUUUCCUGUGGUCAUGUUUUGUGUGGGGCCGGCUCUCCUCCUCAUUACUAGCCUCAGACUUCUGAUCCUACAGGUCCCUUCAGAGCCGUGAAGGCGGGCAUCCUGUGACACAGCUGACACAGCAUGGAGCCUUCAUCUCCUAUGUGCGUUUCUUAGGUCACUCUGAGGGGUGGGGCCACAAGCUACCACCUACAGAAUUGAUACCUUUAGUUCAAAGCCAUUGACCAACCCAGGUUCAUGAAUUUUCAGGCAGAAGGUACCAAGACAACCCCAUUAGGCAACUAGGAAGACAGGCCAGGAAAGGCCUACGAUGUCGUCAUUACAGCUGCCACCGUCAGAGGGUUCAUUAUGUGCUCAGAGGUGCACAGGGCCUCACUGGCUGCUGGACAGAACAGGGGCUGCUCCCAGGACCAGGCAGGGUGGGGCUGGAAACCAACCCAAGGCUCUCAAAGCUCCAGGGCUGAGCCAUGGCAUCUCUGUGCCCUGUUCCCCACCACCCAACACCGAGCAGUUCCUCAAAUGGCUGAAAGCUCAGAAAAUCAGUUUUAAAACAAACUAUUGGAGGAUGUUUUCUUAUACCACUAGACAUUUUUUUUGUUUAACAAUCGCAAUAGAUUAAAUUUAAAAAAAUAUUUAGGAGAACAUAGUUCCAGAAUACAGGGAAAAAUAAGAACCUAUGGGAAAACAAGUUGAUUUCUGAAAAGUUUCAAAACUAUGAAAUGACCAACCUGUUAGAAUUGGUCAAGUAGUUCUUUAAUUUGCAACUAUGUGGCCAGGACAAGAGGGAUUAGGGAAGAGAAUAAAAGAGAACCAUGGGAACAAUCUUUCACAACUCCUUUUUGGUCCCCUGAAUCUAAGUUCCCUGGUUGAUGGCGGUAAAAACCCAAGCUCAAAGGACCUGUAGUCUCCCAGGGAUCUGGACAAGCCACAGCGGGGAUCUGAUAUCUUUGAGAGAGCCCAGAGCUGAGCUAGGGGAUUUUAGAUCUCUCCAGAAACCGUACUCCUGGUGUGAUAAGCACUAUUUUCUGAAACCUAAAUAAUCCCCCGGAGGCUUUUAGCUUCUUUGAGUUUAGGUCUCAGGUCAGAGGCCACAAGUACAGCAGCGGGCUGUGAGUAAGUUGUACAGGUUCACCUGGCUGUUUAUCUUUCUCUCCAACAAUGGGAAGUUUAUAAUGGCUCAGGUACCAGAUUGGGGCCGAAAGGAAGACAUCCUACAAGCCAAAUGCUUCCCUGACCUUGGAAAUGCUUUGAAAAAGCUCUGAAUUCAUUAUAUAGAAUAUUAAGCUUGGAAACUUUAAAGGGUACCCCUUGGGCAGAAAAAAGUAAACACACAUUCCUAGAGACCUAGGCAAAGCGUAGGGUUCCCCCACGACUGAGGAAGGCUAAUCCUGAAAAUAACUUCUACUGAGAGUUGAGGAAGUGGCGGCUGGCGUGGGGACGGGAGGCAAGACAUUGAUAAAGGCAGAGUUGACAUAAACGGACAUGCGGGGGCGUCGGGCGGGGGUGGGUGCUGUAGGCAACAGGUCUCCCCACCAAAGCGGAACCCAGCACCCACCUUCAGCAGACUACGAAAUGCCGACCAAGUCACAAGGCCACAGUGAGCACGGUAGAAAGCAAUGGUGAAAGGCAGUUUUCCUCGAAUGAGAGCAUCAGACAGGCAUGCCCGGGACCAGCUGUGGGAAUCCUGAGAGACAGACAUGAAGCACUUCACUUGGAAAUGCUUUCUUAGUCUUUCAAUUUAACAUUCAAAGGGAUGAGGGAUUUUUAUCAACAGCAGCCAGCUGCAAUGCAAAGUCAUGCUUUCUAGUCUCAGUUCAAAUGGACAUUUCCCUUAUUUUAGCCGUGCAUAUCACAGUCUCCAUUUUCAAGCCAAUUCUGGUUUAAAGGUGACCCUGCUCUUAAAAAUCAUUAAAUAAUAAGUGGUCUCACUCUAA